rnacentral:lncRNA from 1 species
GCUGUCGGCGAUAAGGCUGCGGAGGAACUGAAGACCCUGAAGCAACACUUGCUGAGGUGCAGGCAAGGAUCGACAGCAGAAAAUUUGCCGAGAAUGCACUGAGUUCAAAGCAGAUCGAGCUCACGAACCAGCUGGAGCAGAGCGAGGCUGCCUUUCAAGACCGCCAAGCCAAAGUGACACGCUGGACGAGAGAGUUGAAGAAGCUUAGGUGCCAUACAAUUGAUGGCGAGCCAGAAGUUACGUUAUCUGAGCUGGAAGACAAGGAUUUGGAAGACCUGAAUGAGGAAGCGCUAAUGAUGAAGUCCACCAUGCUCAAGGAGAACCUGUCUGCCAUGAAGCCAAACAUGGCUGCGAUACAGGAGUAUUGUCGAAA